rnacentral:rRNA from 1 species
AAAAAUCAAUUACAUCUUUAAUAAAAAAAUCUAUUAAAUUAUCCUAUUAAUAUUUUAUCAAACACUGAAAAGGAAAACUUAAUUAUUUAAAAGAAUUUUAUAUUCCUUUAGUAUCAUGAAAUUUCAAUUUAACAUAUCAUCUUUAAAAUCCCGAAAUUAUAUGAUCUAACUUAAUUAAAAAUUUAUGUAUCAUUAUAAUAAUAAAAUUUAUGUUAGAAACUAAACAUUAUACGAAUAUAAUAAUAUCUGGUUUUCUAAAAAGAAAUAUCUUUAUUCAAUUCAUAAUAUUAUAAUAUAUUAUGAACAUAUCAUAAUAUCAUCCUUUAAAAAAAGACUAAUAAUAUCUACACAAUUUAACAAUUAAUAUACUCAAUACAAAAUAUAAUUUUAUUAGAAUUACAUUACAAUUUCAAUAAUUAUAAAAUUAUAAAUAGACUAAAAUCUAAAUUUUCCAAACUCACCUAUUACUGAAUGACUGUUUAUCAAAAACAUUUCUAUUAGAAAUUAUUAAUAGUAAAAUCUGCUCCAUGUUUAAUAAAUAGCCGCAAUUUGUGCUAAGGUAGCAUAAUCAUUUGUCUUUUAAAUGAAGACUAGAACAAAAGAUUUAACAUUUUCAGUUUAUUUUCCUAACUUAUUCUAUUAAAUUUAUCCUAAAUGUAAAAAGACAUUUAUAUAAAAGAAAGACGAUAAGACCCUAUUGAACUUAACUGUAGUUAAACUGGGGCAGUAAAUUAAUUAUUAUUUUAAUAAAACUUAUUAUAUAAAUAUCUUUUAAAAUUAAAUAAUUCAGUUACCAUAGGGAUAACAGCGUAAUAAUUUUCUAAAGCUCUUAUUUAAAAUAUAGAUUACGACCUCGAUGUUGAAUUAAUAACCUAACUAAGGCAAAACUUAGAAUAGGAAGUCUGUUCGACUUUUAAAAAAUUACAUGAUUUGAGUUCAGACCGGUGUAAGCCAGGUCGGUUUCUAUCUUCUAGAAAAAUUUUUACAGUACGAAAGGACCUAAGAAUUUAAUAUAAUU